rnacentral:rRNA from 1 species
UACAGAGGUCUCAAGCGUUGUUCGGAUUCAUUGGGCGUAAAGGGUGCGUAGGUGGCGCUGUAAGUCAGGUGUGAAAUUUCGGAGCUUAACUCCGAAACUGCAUUCGAUACUGGCGUGCUUGAGGACUGGAGAGGAGACUGGAAUUUACGGUGUAGCAGUGAAAUGCGUAGAUAUCGUAAGGAAGACCAGUGGCGAAGGCGGGUCUCUGGACAGUUCCUGACACUGAGACACGAAGGCCAGGGGAGCAAACGGGG